CAGAUCACGAGGUCAGGAGAUCAAGACCAAGCUUUUUAUGCAGAUUGAAGCUCUCUUUCCACAAAAAUUUGGAAGAUGGACCGACUAUGCAAAAAGAUACUGUAAUGCACACAUCAGAUAUUUUGGUAAAAGACCUCAGUGGGAUUGUAGAGGGGCAUCAAAUCUUAAUGAACUUCACCAGCUAUUAAGUGACAUAAUGAUUAGAAGAUUAAAGACUGAAGUUUUAACCCAGCUACCCCCUAAAGUCAGACAGCGUAUUCCAUUUGAUCUUCCAUCAGCAGCUGCCAAGGAAUUGAAUACCAGCUUUGAAGAGUGGGAAAAAAUAAUGAGAACUCCAAAUUCAGGUGCCAUGGAGACAGUCAUGGGGUUGAUAACUCGCAUGUUUAAACAAACUGCUAUUGCCAAGG
rnacentral:lncRNA from 1 species